UCAAAUCUCCAAAACCAAAAAGGAGAAAAAGAACCAAAAAUUCUUUUUGGUUUUUUUUUCAAAUUUUUGGAUCUUUGGUUUUUCGUAUUGUUUCUUUUUUUGGGUUAAAUGGCCAAAGUACUGUGUGAACUUGUUUUCAUUUUACUUGGCGGAAAUGUGUUUGCCCGACCGUGUUUUUUGACAGCGGAACUUUUGGCCUGCCCCCCAACUGUCAGCACGUCGCGCCGCUUUCAACUUUUAACAAAAGGUUGAAACCAUUCCGCCAAAGGAUUUUCUCUUUCAGGAGAAUUUUCCACCAAUUGUACAAACUCUGUGUAAAUAUUUUCAAAUUCUGUCUGAAUUUUUUGUUUUCGGCUUGUGCUGAAAAAGAAAAAAUACAAAUAGAAAAAA
rnacentral:misc_RNA from 1 species